GCUGUGUGACCGAGGGUGGCUGGGAAGCAGCUGAGCUCCAGGGCAGAGGCUCAGGGCUGAGGCGUGAGUAGAGCCUGUGUCCUGGGGGCAGCAGAGCCACAGCCUCCCAUCUUCAGCUGCGUUUCAGAGCUCUGGAAAUGCCUCCCUCAGCUGUUAGCAGGCUCAGGGGCUGAGGGCACACAGCAGCGAGGCACAAACACAUCUCAGCACCCAGCAAUCACUACCUUUCUGAGCGUCUGUGUUCAUGUGCCACAUGCCUCCCUGGAACACAUAAAAUGAAGAGCAAACCUACCCAAGAUCAGGGUUUUCAAGACUGCAAAUUAAAAGGAUGGAGGUGUACAUGAGUAGCUGGAAAUCCAACUAAGCUCUGCAGUGUUUUGGCUUCUGUACGCUAUCUUGGUAACUUCAUUCCAGACUUGCCAAAAACCAGAUCAAUACUAUCCAUAGUUUGGUGCCACAGCUGCUUCUUUUCACCUGGGUUUCUUCAUAAUGCUUUUAUUCAGUGGAGAGAAACACAAAACUAUGUGAGAAUUCUGCAUGGCUUUGAAUCACCAACAAGAUAUGCACAGAAAUCAUAGCAAUUACAUAGAAAUCUCCCUACUGAAGAAUCUGGAUCCUACAGCUGAGCAGGAUUUUUCCAUCAGUCCCUCUAAAGUGAGGCUAUUGAAGUUCUCCCACAGGGCACAGCUGCACAGAGCAGUGACAUGAGGUGACACUGGGGCUGCCCCAGCCCUACACCCCACUCAGAGGGUGAAGAAAGCACAAGCCAAGGGCAGGGUGACACCAGGGCAAACAUCAAAGGCACUUUGCUGCCCCCAGGCUCUGAGCAUCUGUAGCUCAGGAUAUUUCCAGAGCUGAUGUAAUUUCUCUGCUCAGUAAUAUAGAAUAUAUCUCUAUUCAAGUCCUGCUGCUGUCUUCAGUGUGCAUAAGCUGCAAGUAUUCACAGCAGUCUCUGGGAAGAAACUCCAUAAGUCCGCUACAUGCUGGAGGAAUCACCACAUUAUUUUGUUUGUUUUGCAGUGCAUUUCCUAUCCCAAAGUUUUCAUAUGGGAAGAGUCAGAGCAUAAUUAAUCUGUUCUCCACCUUCUCCAUCUGAGAACAUGCACUGUUAAGCACACACACAGCAGAAUAUUAAGCACUUGAACUCCACUGGGAACUAACAAAACCUUAGCCCAAACCUAAACACUAUGUCACCUGCAAAUGCUUUGCUGAGCUUGGGAGCUCUGGCAGCAUUGCUGUGGAGCUGAGCUACACUAAUUCUGUUCUGCUUUAAAGCAGAACUCCCUGCUCCAAACCUUCAUUUAGGUGUAGAGGUUUAAAAUGUCCCUUCUAAACGUCUGCUUUCCUUGAGACAAAC